rnacentral:miRNA from 1 species
ACCCUAGAGACCAACUAAGUUUAUUCUGGGUAUAAGCUUGCGUGCACAUGAAAGCUUAUACCCAGAACAAACUUAGUUGGUCUCUAGGGU